UAACGUAUCUGGGUCCCCCUUUUAUAGGCGGAGGAAGCAACGGGUUGAUGGCGACGUUUGUAACCGUCUGGCAGUGGACUGCCCAGGGUCAGGCGGAGUUUGCUGCGAAGCGUAGUGGAACGGACACGUGGCUAUCACUGGGGUGUGCCACGUGGAAUCUGCCGCACGAAGUGGGGUGGCGUUUGUCGUCGUGACUUGCCAGUGGAUGGGAGAAUCACGCAGUAUCCAUUGCAGGAGGUGGAGCAGGAUCGUGGCCGUUUAUCGUGGCUGG
rnacentral:lncRNA from 1 species